rnacentral:lncRNA from 1 species
AUUUGCAUUUGCAGCCUUAGAAAUACUGCAAGCAUGCUUUUGGGCACCAUGUGGGAUCUUCACAUAAGUAGAUGGUAGGGGCAAAUGCUUGAUGCUCCUCAUUCUGGUGAUGAGGGCAUAGGGACAUUUUGCUUCUUUUUGACUUAGGGACUUAUAGAACCUUUUAUCUGAUGGAGGGGAAUGAAUGGUCAUCUUGCUAUCCGUGGAAGGGAAACUGUCAAUCAUUCUAUCAGUGAAUAUUUAUAGUGACUUCCAUGAACAAUGAUAAGCCUGUCAUAAGUUGACAUUGUCCUGACUAGGUCAGAGAAGUUGGAUUACCUCACCUGUCUCUCUGCAGGUACCAGGUUAUCUUCCUGUUCUCUAUUUCAGUGUUCCUUUCCUGGAUUCAGGAAGUAAGUGUGAUGGGGUGUGCAAUGAUUGUGUGGUGUGUAUGAGUGUGUAGUGUAUACAUGGUAUCUAUAUGUUCGAUGUGUGUUUGUGGCAUGUAUGGUAUCUGCAAGUGUGUUGUAUGUAUGUGUAUAUAGUAUGGUGUGGGUGAUAUGGGAUGUGUGUGUGGUGCAUGUAUGUAUGCAUGUUGUAUGUGUGUGUAAUAGAUUUAUAGAAACACACUGCUUUGCCUGAGUAGCAUCAGGCCUAGGAGACACUCUUUUUGGUUGGCUUUUUCUUUGCUAGACAACUUUUAUUUUGGGUAGGAGGGUCAAAUUAGUAAUACACUAUCUUAAGUGUAUUUUUUAUGGAGAUUGUAUAUAAAAUUAUAUAAAUAUAUAAAACUUGUUCUAUUUUAAGGAGAGAGGGGAGCUUACGUGGGGGGGUGGGCAAGAAUCAGAUGCAAUAGUGGUGACUAACAGUGGAAACUUCAGGCAAGUGGUCCAUGUGGGGAGUUGGGAGUGGGUGGGCAAGAAAUGCAAGCUGGGCAGGAUGAGUGGGGACUCAUGCCCUCUGCACACAUAUAUAAAUAUGAAGAAAACCUAUAUAAAGUAUAUCUGUCUAUCUUAUCUACAUAUCUAUAUACCUAUAUGCAGUCAUAGUUUGCUUUAUUUUUGUACCUGUGCUUAGAGAUGCUUUGAGCAGUAUCACUAUCCCCAGGUGGUCUGGGGUACUAGCUCAUGCCUGAUGACACCUCUUCUCCAUCUUUCCUGAGAUACACUGUCUGUUCAGAGUUUCUUGGGUCUCUCUGAUGGAAAUAUGUAUUUGUGAAACAAACUUUAAAAUAACAAAACAAAGAACUCUCAGAAAGGACAGGUGAGUUGACAGUUGUAGGAUAUAUUAGAUCUAAUAGCUGUAGGGAAUCCAGAUCCACAUGUCUCUUGCUACUGGAGGGGACACUGAUUUGAACUAUUUGAAAGGGGUGUUUGAUAUAUAGUAAGAAUGAUGGAGAGUUGGAAACUGUGAUUCCAUCCCUGUGUGGCUAUGGGUUGGUACCCAGUUCCAUGGAAGGAAUUCAGCUUAGUAGCUUGGAAAGUGGGAGUUUGAGAUUAUCUAGGGACUUAGAGUUAACACCUGUUUCAGUUUAUAGCACCUGGGCUUAGCAGUUCUUGGAGGGUAUGGUGGUAAGAGAGAUUGUGAGGCUUACAGCUUGGGCUCAGUCUUGAUGAAGAGACACCCUGAUAAUUAUUGCUAUAGAUUCUUGGAACAAGUGUGAAUGUGAUUAUCUAGUAUAAAUAUGUCAUCUCUCCUGUUUUCAUUUAUUUUUAAUUGGAAAAUAAAGUGCCAUUGGAAAUGGGGUGCUCCAAUCCUAGGACAAGUGGAGGAUCAGGAAUGGGAGAUUAAUUUGGGGCAAAACUGGAAAGAUGGGUCCUAGGAGGAUCUCCUUCUGCACUCAGCCUGGGACUUAAAAAACUGAACAGUGUUUUUGAAAGAAUAUGAUCAAGAAUGGAGCAGGAGUUCGUUUGUGUUUGAAUAGGAAACUGUGUGACCUGAAGAAUACCUCUUUGAGAAUGCAAGACCUCACACACCCUGCAAGGCCAUAUGUCUUGUAACCACUGCCAGCAUCUCCUAGGUGCUUGCUCGUCCAUCUGACUUGCCAAGAACUCACAGGGAUGUGUUUGAAGCUGGUGCAGUGCCAGAUGGUGCAUGCAGCCAGGAGAGACUCAACUGCAAUCUCUCAGCUCUUACUCCUGCUUGUCACUCAAAAAGGGCAAUACUAACCCCUCUUUCUCAACCAAAUGUUAUGCUAUCUAAGAGCUCUGUCUAUGGAGUUUGAUCAUUAGAGGAAUUCAAAUGCCUCCACCAUGGGAAAGGCUCUUUAUUUACUUGGGGGUAUUAUGGGAAGAGUGGGUUGGUGAGAAGCUUGAGUCUAAAUCCUGAUCCUAGACCUUAUGUGACCCUGUCAUUCAUGAGGGCAUUGUUCUUGGCUUUCUGGGGUUAUCUGCUCAAAAUACUUCCUGUUUUUCAAAGAUACUGCAGGAAAAUUGGCUCUCUCCAAUAAUAUUGGAAGGGCUCUGAUACUGGGUCCAUCUUUGCAGGUGACCAGUCUUUCCUGUAAUCUCCUCAGGAGGCUUAAGGAGUACACAGCAAGAUGUUUCUUGUAAGAUUUUUCUGGGAGGUUGAGCAAGUGGAAGAGCAGCAAAUUCUAUGUCCCUUCGCAGGUUGCAACCUCUCCUGAGCUACCAAAGAAGGAUUUCCAUUACUAUUCUUUUGGCUCUUAGAGCCCACCUCUUCUUCUCUAUAGACUCUCUCCUACUUGUGGUUGUAUGUCACCAGCAGAGUCAAUCACUUCAGCUCACGAGCACCUUAGAGGGCUCAUACUCCAUGAGGCCCCAGGGCUCCUACAAUACUCUGCUCUUUCUACAUUGAGCCAAAUGCUUGAUCCUUAGAAACCUCAGUAGCACCAAGGUACAUGAGAUUGGGAGUCUGUACAUUUCCAUCCCAUUCCUCAAUGUCAACUAGGACCCUUCAUUUUGGGGAAAAUAGAGAAGAUAAUUGCAAUUUUAGAGCCUGGAGAGAAUGUGUUACCUAUGUCCUUUCCUUGACACAGCCCUCAGCAAGAUGGUGCAAGGGGUGGGCAUUAGAGAAGAAAAGACUGCUAAGUACAGUAUCAAUCUCCCGUUUCUUGGAACAAAGGGGAUUGAGAUCUGAUUAUAUAUGGAGUAAGCAGGAUGUCUUGUCUUUGAACCCCUCAGUUAAUUGGAAUGGUAGGUGGGAGAGGUGCUCUGAUGAGGCCUUUGAGACCUACAGCUGCUUUCAGGACUCUGAGUUCCUCCAUGUGCUUGUGACUUUCUUCUUGGUCCCCAGGAUACAGAAGGGAUACUGAAUUUUGGUGCUUUCUCUUUGAGAAGGAGGUGGGGAAAAAUCUUUAUAGAGUUGUAGUUUUGCUACCUCUGUCUACUGUGUGGAAUAAGACUGUGGAGUAGACUGCUGAGAAUUGCUGUCCCAGGGACCAGGGUGGAAUCUGUCUUCGCAUUGUCAUCAACCAGGAGCUUGGAGAAGAGGGGCUUGUCCAUUUCUCCUUGGCUUUGGCUGGGCCCUCCCACUCCUCUUUGUUCAUAUUGAACCACUUUGGGCAAUAUCAGUGUACGAUGUGGAAGAACAGGUGAGCCUACACAUGGCUCACUUUCUCUCCAUGAGGAAUUCAUCAUGAUACUGGAAUGUGUGGGGUCUCUCCUGUUUAGUAAACUACUAAUGUUGAAUCCAGGGACUGGGAAGGGUAGCUUUAUGGAAGAUCUUCAUGCUAAAAUUUUUAGACUGAGGUGUUAGAUGGGGAAAUGGUUGAUAUAACACUCCAUUUACUAAGUUCAUAUACAUCAGUAUAAGAAAGUUUUAAAGCUCCAUUCAGAUUUUGUUUUCUGUCUGCCAUUUGUGGGACCAGAGAUUGAAGGUGUGGAUGGGGUUCACUUUCCCUGGUUGCUUGUUCUUGUCCAACUUGUUGACAUGAAGGGGCUACAUCCUGCUUCCUGUCAGUAACUUUUGGCCUCUUUUAUCAUCAACUUUAUCUCUUCCACCAGGAAGGACUGUAUCAUCUGGAUAUAUUUCUUACAUUGCAUACCUGGAGGUCAUUUUGAUGUGAAUUUCUUUCCUCCUGUCACCCUGUGGUCUAUAGACACAGAGGGUGGGGAUGAAGAGAUGGUAUGGAGGAAGGAGCUCCCAAUGCUUCUUCCCCAAGACCCCUUACCAACUCCAUACCUCCAGAUGCUUGGCAGCCUCUUGCUUUUAUUUCUUCUUUUCUAACAAGUCUGGAAAAGACUAUUGGUUUCGUCAUGAGAUUUCUUGCUCUCAUUUCGAACUUUUAUUCCUUGCUCAACUUUUUUGGGGGGUUCUCCCAUCCAUGCCAGAUCUUCUUGUAAAGACCAUUCAAACCUCAUUUUCAUUUCUUGAAUGUUGAGUAUUACAACAUCACUGCGCUAGGGUGCUUUUUGGUGCUGUUCCUGAAGAUGCCAGCUGGACAGAACUGCUUUUGUCCUACUGGUCCCUUAGAUCUUGCUGUAUUUUAUCUUCUAUGAGUUUUUUUUUUCCUCUAGGGAUUUGGGGUGGGAGAUUUAGGGGUGGCUUUUGUGUUCUCUCUCUUUAUGUCUUCUCUGUAUGUAUGGAUUGGUUAAAGUCAGUUACCAUGGGCAGCUGACUUUGUGAUAUUGGUUGGCUGACUUUGGUUCCAAAUUAAAGACAAACCAACAAAUUGUACAGCUGUGCACAGAACACCUCUCUGUGUGAAUUUGAUGGCAACUAGAGGCUUACUUUUUGAACUUCAGGUAUGUAACUCAAAAGUAAAUAAAAACUAUUUUUUCAGUAAGCUUUUUUUUUUCUUCUAAAAGAUAACAUAGAAAUCAAACUAUAAGAACAUUAAAUUGGUGCUGUACCAAAGCCUUAUUCAAACAUAUUCUACACUCUGUAUAACCUGUCUCUGGGGAGCUCCCUGCUCCAUCACCCUGUUCUCAAAAGCCUGGGAAUGCCAGCAUGUGCCAAGCCUGGGGCUGCGUCUUAGGGACCUGUGAGCCAAGGGGUCCCCUGGGAGUAGAAGAUGAUGGUAAAGAUGGGGUACUAUUCUAUUGAGCAAAUGCUGAAAGAGAACCAGGCAUUUGUGUGUGUGUGGAGUGCAUGUGCACAUGUGUGUGUAUGUGUGUGAAUAUGUGUGUGUGUGUGUGUGUGUGUAAGAUUACAGGUGCAUGAUGCCAAAGUGAAUGUGCUAACUGGGGGCUUGAAAGGGAGACCCAGGUUGGCCCUGGGAAUGGGGCAGUUGUGGGAACGAAGGGGGACAUGCUCUCUUCUGUUUCCCACAUCCUUCCCUUUUUUCUCGGUCAGGGAAUGGAGGUGUAUUAGAAAUAGCUACACUCUCAAACAGGUGCUUUUUCCUCAAAAUAUUCAAACUCUAAGCAUUUAUAAAGGGCCCAUCCUAGGGGCAGGUACCUCUAGCCACCAAAUCACAGACAUCCAAGACUAGAAGGAACCUUUCUUCUCCCUAACCCUUGCUUGGUUUCUUGGGGAAGAAAGUUGCUCCAACAGGAUGCCUGCACCUUCUGUUCCUUGACCUGGGGCCUAUUGUAGCUGCCACCUCUCUCUAGGCUGCCAUUUGGCUGUCCUACUCCUUUCCAACCCACUGAGAAGACCCCACUGGAGAUGACCCAUAAGCCACACCUGCUCCAUGGCCCUAAGCAAUAAUUCCUGCUCUGGCUACCAAUGACAGUGAUUCCUUUGGCCUUAGACUUGCCAGUUAAAGGUAAUACCCAAACUCAAGUAGGGAGAGAAUUAAAGUCUGCCUUAGUUCAGGCUGUCAUGCCAGGCUCCACUAGCUGGUAUUUUCAGGCUUGCUGAAUACUAUCCAACUCAUUGCCAGUAACACUGCAUGUUCAUAUCCUGAAUUAAAAGUCAAAAUGAGCAAACAAGUACAUAAGCAAACAAACAAAAGGGGAGAGAAGAAAAAGCCACAUCAAAUGACCAGAUGUGUAGCCAGUGAAGGUAGCCCUGGGAGUGUUGCAAGUUAAACUGAUUAAAAGAAGUUUAGUAUUUAAUUGCUCCUCAUGUAACAUUACUCUGCUUCAGAAAUGUUUUGUAUUUUGAUAUAAAUAAACAUUUGCUAAAAAAAUUCAUUUUCUAAUUAUUGUUUGUACCUAGGAAGUAUUUUCUGAUGUUACCUGAUUUCACUGCUGGUCCUAGGUCUCCCUAAUCAACCCUUUGUAAACUCAUAGCUGAACAAUGAUUCUGAGAAGA